GGGCCCAUAGCUCAGCGGUAGAGCCACCGGCUCAUAACCGGUCCGUCCCAGGUUCGAAUCCUGGUGGGCCCACCA
rnacentral:tRNA from 1 species